rnacentral:other from 1 species
UUGUUUCUGAGGUGUACGCAUUGUCCUUUAAUGUAAGGUUGACCGAACACUUUUAUCAUAUGGAACCCGGAGCUCUGGUCGGAUGACAAGCCGGUUGUCCGGACGCCAGAAGGCAGAUUAUGGGUUCAUCCUGCGUUGACGCGGGUUCAACUACGUGGACGAUUAACGGCACUACCGGACUGGGA